GGUCUGUGUGUUUGCAUGUAUGUUCAUGAGUGUGUAUGUGUGUGUGUAUGUGUAAAACAUCUAUAUGUCUGUAUGUGCAAAAGUAGACCCCCACCUAUACCAUGCUCACAGGUAGAGGACAGAAACAACCUCACGUGUUGGUCUUUACCCUUCACCGUGUUUUGAGGCAGGGUCUCUUGUUUGCUGCUGUCUGCCAGGCUAGCUGGCCCGUGAUCUUCCAGGAAUUCUCUUGUCUCUCCAUCCCGUCUCAAAACAUGAGCAAUGGGAGUAAAGCUGGACAUGGCCACACACAUCUAUGGUAAGUGGCUUUAACUGCUUAGCCAUCUCCCUAGACCACAUACCCCUUGAAUCAUUGCUAGGACACCGGUAAGUCCUAGUACAAGGUAGACACCGCAUGGAGAGCUGCAGUAUCUGUGCUUGUGCUUGUGCUUGUGCUUGUGCUUGUGCUUGUGCUUGUGCUUGUGCUUGUGCUGGGCAGCUUUAUGUCAAUGUGGCACAAGCUAGAGUCAUCUGAGAGGAGAGAACCACAAUUGAGAAAUCGUCUCCAUAAGAUCGGACUGUAGGCAAACCUGUGGAGCACUAUCUUAAUUAGUGAUUGAUGAGGGAGAUCCCAGCCCAUUGUGGGUGGUGCCAUCCCUAGGCUGGUGGUCCUGGGUCCUAUAAGAAAGCAGGCUAAACAAGCUAUGAGGAGCAAACCUGUAAGUAGUACGCCUCCAUGGCCUCUGCAUCAGCUCCUGCCUCCAGGUUCCUGCCCUGCUGGAGUUCCUGUCCUGACUGCCUUCCAUUGAUGAACAAUGAUCUGGAAGUGUGAGCCAACUAAACCAUUUCUUUUCUCCCCCAAGUUGCGUUUGGUUAUGGUGUCUCAUCACAGCAAGAGUAACCCUAACCAACACAGUACUUUCCAUGGAGUAAGAAUGGUGUCUGCAUUGCACUGUGCUCUGUUGUUUCUAUCUGUGGUUGGUUGAAUUCUCUGACAAGGAACACAGGACACAGAGAGAUGUUCAGUCUUGUGUGGCCACUGUGACCCCAGGUGAUCUGCCUACUAUGAAUGGGGUCACACUUGCUUCCUGAGAUGGACCCUUGCCAUGUUUCUGGAAUGAGUAGAAGGAGGUAGACCUAGGCUCCUCAGUGACAGGGACAUCACCAGAGUCCACUACACAAAAUGAAUAGCUGUUCCCUAGGUGAGCAUUGUGUCUCCUUGCUGGGGUGUCUGCAGGCAGGGGUGGGUUUGAUAUGGCUCCUGACAGUGGACUGGCCUUUCUAAUCUCCACAAAUGUCAUCAACUUCCAGAGAGCUGUGAAAUUGUCCAACUAAGACACACACUCGCUAACUUGCCCAAAAUCCCGCCCAGCAUUUCAGUGACUCUUCCCACCCAAGCUGCUGCUGGGCCCCUCCACACAGUGUUCCAUUGCCCCUGGACAGCAGCAGUACCCACAUACGGGCAGCCCCCAAACAAGAGGCAUUAAACAGAUGCACUGGAUCCCAAGGCCAAGAAUGAUACAGCUACUGACUACAGGCAUGCUGUCCAGAGUGCGGGGACAGUUGGAACAUAAUGGAUAGAAUAUCAUUCUGAAAGCUAGGGCCACGUAGAGAUGUCAGCAUGGGGUGACACACCCGGGGCUUCUGGAAGGGAAAGGCUGGCUAUGGUUACCACAGGACACUUGAGCCGCUAUAGGGAAUAGAGGUGCAGCACUGUUGUGAGGCAGUUAGAACAUAGGAGGACCUACGUUGAUGCCUGAGAGCAUGUGUCACAGGAUGACAUCCAGCCAUUUCUGCAUGGCAUCCCAGCGCUGUACCUUCUGGGUAUGCUAAAGCAGGACCCAGGAGGAAGGAUACUACCGUCUCUCCAGGACAGUCAGAGGGCACUUUCACCAUUGUCCCUUCCUGGUUGUUCCCACCUAGCUCCAACACCCUGAAUCUGAAAGUCCUACCAUUAUUUUAAAAAAAAUCAUUUUAUAUGUAAAUAAGAGGAUCUCACAGUUUAUCUCAGCUAUGGGAGGUACCAGGAAGCUCGAAGCCUUGAGUGUCAGCUCUGUGUGCUAAUACCUUGCCUUUCACUCACCCCUCAAUGACAGACUUUGUGCUUCUUGGGCAAGCAGUACUCCUGGGGAUCCCAGUGUAGCCAGAUGGUACAGGCUCUGUAGGGUGGUGGCACAUGACAGUUCUCUGCUCUGGAUAGGCAAUGGAUGCUGGGGGUAGAAGGUGCCUGACUGGAGGACACCAGGUGAGGACAGGCAACCAGAAAGCUGCUCUGUGUUCCCAUGGAGGUUGCAUCCACUGGUCCCAGCACCAGAACUUGCCAAGUCCUACCAUGCAGAAGGGACGGCAUGAUACAGUUCCUGGGAGCAGAGCUAGCAGCUAGUGGGCUCCACAAGUGUUGACAGUUGAUAGGUAUGAGGCUUGUUUGCAUAAUAAUGUACAUAAUUGACUUUAUGUUGUUCCACCGUUGGGAAUGCUCUCUCUGCCAAGGUUAAUGACGCCAUAAUAAUUAGAAGCAGUAUGAGUCUGGGAGGUGAGGGUGUAUCUAAUAUCCUCAGCAAAAAUGGUAAAUGUGGUGACCUUCGCAACAGCCCCUUAAGGCUGUGGGAAAGAACUCUGAAAACCUGCGUACAAGAAAGUAUAAUUUCUCAAUUAUGCAAUAUUUUGCAUAAGGAUGUAAUAUUUACUACAUAAGAGGUUCCAUGGACCCAAAAGAACAUAGGCAGCUGCGCUAUGAGCCAGCUUGUCAGAAAGACAUUAUGGAAGGAGAUAAAGAGAUUUAGGGAGUGGUGACUGUAAGGCAGGAUGCUACCCAGCUAAACUUAUUGUUUGUGCUUACAAUGGCAGGCAGAUUCCUGAGUUCAAGGUCAACCUGGAACAGAGCUAGUUUAGGCCCAGGCUUGGUGGGAAUGGUGACCUCAGAGCUGGAUCCCACCCAGAUAGCUUAUGGUCUAUGAUUACAAAGGCAGGCAGAUCUCUGAAUUCAUUUACUAUGUUAAAAAAAUGUACUUCCUGUCUUUUCUAAAAGUCCUGGAGCUACUGUCAUAAAAUGUUAAUUCAUGGGAUAAUCAAAAGGGAACCUGGGGUGAAGAAUUGAAUUGAUAUGCAAAUAAAAGACUGGGCUUUGGUCUGUAAGAGCUAAGCUGUCUGGAGAUCUCUGGAGAACUGUCUGGAGAGUCAUCUCAAGAAGACCAUAGAGCUCUCAGCUUGUACCCACAACUGACUUUAGGUCAUUUCUUUUGCCACUUCCAAACACCCUUUCUUCAGGAAACCCUCUCCAAGCUGAGGCUGCUCCUUGCCAAGAACUCAUAGCCUUCCAGAUCGCCUUUAACAGAGGCUACACCACAAAGGCCAAGAAUUAAGUUCCUCCACACAGUGUUGGAUAUUGGGAUACUUGGUUCUUCAAAGUGGUCAUCGGGAUAAUUCUAUUGGAGUUGGCAGGCAGGAGGAUAUUUGAGGCUAAGGAUGAUGGGACUUAUGAUUGUAAUCUUAUUUCUGCACUCCAUAAAUAUGUUAGUGGAAAUAGAAAUAUUCCUAAAAGGACUGGUCUUUUGUAGUGGUCAAAUGCCCAUUGAGAAACAGCAUGGGCAUGUUGAAUGUGGUAUAGUCAAGUAAUGGAGUAUUACUCAGGGUUGAAAAGGGGAGGUUAUAAUACAUACUAUAAUGUGCUGCUAAAGGCCAGAUUUGACUUCAUACAUGUAAAACAAGCAGAAGGGGUCAAUAAUCCAGAGAGAAGGUAGAUUGGCGCCUGAAGUGGGGAAGUGGGAGGCUGGAAAGGUAGGGGUAACUUCUAGAGGUGAACUUGCCUUUUAGGGUAAGAAAACUGUUCUGGAACUAGAGGUCAUAGUUAUCCAAGUGGCACCGUGUCACACACUUUGAAUAACUGAUGGUUGAUUUUUGUCAUGUAAAGUUUAGCAGGGUUUGGUCUUUGGUUUGGUUUUUUAAGACUGAGUUUCUCUGUAUAACCCUGGCUGUCCUGGAACUCACUCUGUAGACCAGGCUGGCCUUGAACUCUGAGAUUCACCUGCCUUUGCUGGGAUUAAAGGUAUGCACCACCACAACCACCUAGCUAGUUUAGCAGUUUUUUAUAAAAACUUGGUCCCUUUGCUGCAUCUCCUGUCAGCUGAGUUCAGACACUCAUCUGUCCACUUUGACUUACAACAACUUCCUAAAGGGCAUCUGGUCUGAGGCCUACUCAGCGCUCAGCAUCAGCUCCCUGAAUCAGCUUCCUUAGCUGCCCAGAGCCAAGCACUGUGCCUGACACUGCCUGAAAAAUAGGAUCAAGGGGGAAAGAUAGCUAAGUGCCUUACAGUGAAGGCCUCCUACUGCUGCCAUCCAUGUGUGGCCCUAGUAGGUCAGCUUCACUCCAGUAGAUGGCCCCACACCGAUGAGUAUAUAGGCAGUGCACACCCAUGAGUAUAUGGGUAGCUCAUAUUCAUGAGUAUAUGGGCAUGUCAAACCCAUGAGUAUAUGUAAAGCUCACACUUAUGUGUAUAUGGGUAGUUUACACCCAUGCGUCUAUGGAGGGCAGCUCACACCCAUGAGUAUAUAGAAAGCUCACACCCUUGAGUAUAUAAGCAGGUCACACCCAUGAAUAUAUGGGUAGGUCACACCCAUGAGUAUAUGAGCAGCCCACACCCAUGUGUAUAUAGGCAGAGCAUACCCAUGAGUAUAUGGGCAGCUCAUACUCAUGAAUACCUGGACAGAUCACAGCUAUGUAUAUAUGGGUAACUCACACCCAUGAAUAUAUGGGCAGUUCACACCCAUGGAUAUAUGGGAAGCUCACAUUCAUGUGUAGAUGGGCAGCCCACACCAUGUGUAUAUAGGCAGGUUAUACCCAUGAAUAUAUGGCCAGAUCACACCCAUGAAUAUAUGGGCAGCCCAAAUUCAUGUGUUUAUGGGCGGCCCACACCCAUGAGUAUACAGGCAGCUCACAUCUAUGUGUAUAUGAGCAGCCCGAACAAGAUUUGGUGAGUUAUUAUGAAAAUAAAAAGGAGGGCUUAAAAUUUGGAGAGGUAGGGAAUGGUAGCAAUUUGAGUGGAGUUAGAGAGAGUGUUAGGGGUGUCUAUGAUAAAAUAUAUUGUAUGCAUGUAACAUUUUCAAAGGUUUAAUAAAAUGUUAUGUGAAAGAAAAGACAAUCUUCCAAGGCUUCAGUUCUUCUUGAACCCAGAGCAGAAGGGGAAAGGAAGGUGAUGAGGCCCCUUGCAUACAGUCCCUUCUCCACUGAACCUUAACGGCACAUCUGGGUGGGCCCAGACAGUGUCAACUGGACACUGCCUGUACUUACACCUCCAUAAUACAUGACUUGUUCCAACCCUACUCCCAUAGGCCUCAGAGGGUGAGAAGGAUACAACCUGGCUCCUCCUGGAAGCAGGACAUUGGGAAUGUUUGUGAGGGUUUAUCUUAAUUGCAUUAAUUCUCGUGGGAGGAUCCAUGCGGGCAGUGCCACACCCUGAGUUCAGCAUCCUAGACGGGAUGAAAGGAGUGAGCAGGCUGAGCCCCCCUCAUUGCUCUCUGCUCUUGAUGAUAGAUCACUAAGCUCCCUCAGGUUCCUGCCUUGGCUUCCCCACAGCGAUGGGCUGUAGCCCGGAACUGUGGGGCAAAGAUCCCUUCUUCUCUAAGCUGCCUUUGUCAGGAUAUUUUGUCACAGCCACAGGAAACAAAGCUAUCGCAGAUGCAGAGUGCAAUGGCUGGUUGGUGUCUGUGUAAGAGAUAGGAGGGAUCUGGGCCUGUCACCGCACGCCUGGAACAGUGGCUUCCGUAAGCUCGGACACGCAGAGGAGGUCUUGGCUACAUAGCAACGACCUGUCUCAAAAUCCACUGAGGAAAAGAAGGGAGAGGUGGUCUGGGGGUUAGGCACAGGCUAUUGGGUUGUGUAAGGACAAUGGAGACAGACUCAGGAAGGAGGCAGCUGCAAGCCAAGGAACACACGGCUGCAGUGGGUGGAAGGGCACCCUUCCUUUAAGCCUGCAGAAGCCAUCCCACCAUCCCUCACUCUGCUCUUCAGAACUGCAAGACAACAAUGACAGGCCACUGUUUGCAGCCACCAGCAUGGUGGGACUUCUGUGCCGGCCCUGGGGUGUAAUCCACCUAUCUGACACAUACCCUGUCUCUCUGCUCUCUAGAAGCACAGAUGCGGGCUAUGAUGACGAUGCCCUGAUCCUCUGAGCCGGGAAGUUCGGCACUGUGGUGCAUGCCUGAGAUCUGAAGAGGCUGAGGACUGUGCCUCAAAAACAGCAUCAACCAAGAACAUAGCACAGGCACGCAAGUGCCCGCCUGGUGAAAUCAGAUGGCCACGGUCCUGGACCAAGAGCUGGAGGACCUGCCAGUGGGUGAGUAGAACCCAGGGCGUGUUCGUGGCUCCAGCUCUGAGACCAUUCCCACCUGCCAUUGGCUUGAGAAGUGGGGUAAUCAUGAAUUCUGGCUUGCUGGGAUUAGAAGUCAAGGAUAAAAACCCUGGCUUGCUUCCCCACCCCACCUCACCCCCUAUUUUUCCUCUCCACCUCCUCCAGUCCUUCUGGGGUCUCAGGCCCCUCGACCCUGGCUUCCUAGGCAGCCUCCCUUGCCCUGCAUGGAGCUGGCACUUUGCAUUCUGUUCAGCAAUCCCUUUGUUCACGGCACACAGAAACCCAGCCUGCUAGUCAGAGCGGAGCUCCAUCCCAUAAUAAACAGCAUGAACUAUUUAUAACCCUGAAAACAUCUUUAUUAUUAUUUUUCUUCCCUCCAGAAACAAUCUCACACAAUCCUGUUAAGCACACACCACCAAGGAAUGGCGGGCCUCGGGACGGGGCUGCUUCCCCCCGGCCCUGCCCAGCCGAGCAGAUGGCGGCGUGGGCGGUAGGUACCAGCCUCCUGGCAAUCCGAACAUCUGUUCCCGUUAGAAAAUGCUAAUUGCCAUCAAUCAGGACAGCACCUACCCACAUUUACAUGCAAGCGCACAUGCAAAAAAAAAAAAUCUAAAUUUCUCCCAGCGAUGCACUGCUUGCAUGUUAACUAGCCAGAGUAGCCUGAGGGCGGCUGGGCCAAAGGCUGCCACCAUAGCCUGCCAGCCUUACAGGCCCUACCCAGACUCCAACCACGGUAACGAUAAUGGAGUUGCUCUGUAGGUAGCCUGGUUACAGGCUCUGUGGAUUCUCAUCGGCUUGGUCCAGGGUGGACACGGAGCCAUUGACUUAAGGCAUGGCAGUCGCACCUGUGCAAGGGAGCCACCCUGGCUCCGUUGUCGCUCUGAGUAUCCACUCCAUGCAGCUUUCUAAUUGGAUCUGGCUUCUGCCCCAUGGCCCUCUGUAAGGGAAGGUUCUGGGUCUCUCUGCCAUAAUUCCCAGUACCAACCUGGCCUGAUGUUCCCACCCAGAUGCUUGGUCUGGAGACACGUCGGUGUUCCAGAGACAUCAACUGUUCUCAUGGUUGCUGAGAGUCUAAGCAGUGGGGUCACAGCCCAGGGCCAGCCUUUCCUGGCUAGCGUUUUCUACCUGGCUCUCGUGGCUACCUCCAUCCUCUAGUCUCCAGCCAGGGCUUGGACAAUCUAUCUCAUUCUUCCCUGGACACUGUUUGCCUGGUAAUCACGAGGCUUCCCUAGCCCCUGGUGAUAUGAGUUUGUCCUGAAAGCCAGGGAUGGAUGUGGGGGCUGCGCAAUCAAUCAAUCCAGCCCCUCGCAGGCUGUGGUGGAGAGGAGAAGGUGUGGUUUCCAUUCACACUCAGUCCUGGGGAGAGGAGAGCAGAGCCCCUCCCUCCACUCUCAGCUCCCCACAGGGCCUGGUGCCUCCCAACAACACAUGCAGACCAGCUGUUCCGCGGCACCUGGAGGGUCACCUCAGCUCCCAAUCAACCCUCGGCCUGAGGAUGUGAUCUGAACCUCAGAGAUUGUUCUAUUAUGUAACGAGAAGCCACGAGCCUCCUCACCCCAUCUCUCCAAAGGAAAGUGAUUUUGAUAAUUUUUCUCGAAGGUGCCAGGCGCUGUUGCCAGCCUUGGUUGCUAUGGGGCCUGGUGACUGGCUGCAGGGUAAACUAUUGGGAUUGGAAAAAAGGUUUCGAUGGGGAAGCACAGAGCUCCCCUCACCUGACAUGAGGGCCACAGCCGGUGGGAAGGACCUCCUAGGAUCAGACCUUGUAGGUGGGAGCCAGCCGCAGGGUGUUUCUGUGCUGGCCUCACUGUGAACACAGUACACUGCUGUCCUUGUGCACACCUGGGUCACAUGGUGCAUGGGAUGGCGAGUAUCUGUGUAAGUGGGACUGAUGGGCGGGGCUAGGAGAGGGGAGAGGGUGGGUCUUUGCCAGCUGUCUCUUUCUAACUGAUGUCUCUUCUAAAAAGAGAUCAUUCUUGUACCAACAACAUGCACAUGGAUGUCGGGGAAGUGAGGCCUCUAACCACAUACCUAUUAUCCCUCUCUCUCCACCAUCUUCCCAGCCAUCUAUCACUUACCAGGGACUGUGCAUCCCAGCUGUGUGCUGUCUGUGGUCACCAAGCCUGUCCCAUCUUCCCCCUCCUCCCCCCCCUCCCCACAGCCUCAGGCCUUGUCCCAGCAGUCGUCCACACUCAAUGGUAUGAGAUCCCCUGGCUUCUUGCCAGACUCUGGCAGCUAGGGCCUGCUUCCCAUGAUCCAUUUAACAACGCUCCUUGUGACUGUAGUUCAGAAGGCAGGGCUUCUCUCUAACAAGGGUGGAGACUUUGAGCAGGGUCUCUGGGAUGCUGUCUUCCUCCUCCCCUCCCCUCCCCUCCCCUCCCCUCCCCUCCCCUCCCCUCCCCACCUCUUCCUUCUUUCCCUUCCACCUCUUCCUCUUCUACUCCUGUCUCAGCCUCAGUUCCUUGCCUGUCCCGCCCAGGUUCCUGAUGUGAGGACCUGGAGGUCAUGAUGUGAGGUCAUGACAUGAUAGGAUGACAGACCUGUUCCCUGGCUUUCAGUUCCCGUGCCGCCAUCCCACCUUCGCUGUCUGUUUGGCUGAGUCUGGAGAGCUGAAGGAGGCCCCAGUGAAGCAUGAGAGACUCCAGCACAAGGAAGCAUGACCCAGAUCCUUGGCCUCCCCAGCCUGAGCCCCCAUAAUAGCUAAGACGAAGAGGGGGUAACAUUUUAAAUAUAAGCUCUACAAUUAUGAUACAAAUCAAUGGCUUCCAGGCAGACAGAUAGAAGGAUAGAUGACAGAUGCAUGUCUGCAUUCACGGGUAAAUGCCGGAUGGAUGAGAAGAUGGCAGGGAGACAGAGAAUAGGUAUGUGGUUAGAUGCAGGGGUAAGCAAAGGGGAUGAUGGAUAAAUAAAUAGAUGCACCAUCAUGGAAAACAGACACAUAGCUAAAUGGACAGACAGAAAUAUAAUAGAUACAUGGAUGGAUCAGUAAUAUCUAUAUACAAAUAUAGAUGGAUGCUAGACAUAUAUGUGCACAUGUAAAGAUAAUAAAUGUACAAGUGGAUGGAUAUACAGUCAGACAGUCAGAUAAUGCAUAAAUGCAUAUAUAAUUGAUGGGUAGGUAGUUGGGUGGAUGGAUGGGUGGAGAGAUGGGUGAGAGGGUGGAUGGAUGGAUGGAUGGGUAGAUAGAUAGGUGGAUGGAUGAUGGGUGGAUGGUUGGAUAGGUGGAUGGGUGAAUGGAUGGAUGGAUGGAUGGAUGGAUGGGUGGAUGGGUAAGAGGAUGGAUGGGUAGAUGGAUGGAUGAUGGGUGAUGGAUGGUUGGAUAGGUGGAUGGGUGGAUAGGUAGAUGGAUGGAUGGAUGGAUGAAUGGAUGGGCAGAUGGGUGGAAGGGUAAAUGGAUAGAUUGAUGGGUGGAUGAAUGGGUGGGUGGAUGGGUAGGAAAGUGAGUAGAUGUGUAGAUGUAUGGAUGAUAGCUUAAUGAACAGAUGAGUGAUUGGAAGAAGCAGAGGCAAAAAGAUAGAGAUGGAGUAGGUCCCACAAAACACUCCUUUUCCUCAUGUCUACUUUAUAGCUCACUUCAGAAGAAGUGGUCUGGAAUCUAGGGUAGAGAUGGAUAGGUGGACCAAAGGUUCAAGCUCAGAUUAACCUUCAUGGGCACAAGGCACCUGACACUUGUACUAGGUUGGCCCUAGUCCAGGAUGGUGCCCCUCCUUUUUGUGCAGCCCCAGGGACAAUCUCUAACCUGAGGGCUGAUGUACCUGGGAAUAGUGUUCCCUCACCAUGUAAGUCACCUCGACCUGCCUAGUGAUCUGACCAGGACUGCUGCACCCUGGUCAGGCCUCACUCUCCAGCACCAUGUCUCUAACAGACACUUGGCCUUGCUCUCAGAGCACAAUUAGUGUGGGGGUGAGGCUAUGAUCAGUGUUAGGAUGAUUUUGGGUUACUUUAGUGUUGCGAUCAGGUUAGGGUUAAGGUCACAUUUAGGUAAAGAUUGAGUUAAGGUCGGGCUAUGAUUAGGUUUAUGGCUAGAUUGGCACUAGUAACUCAUGGUUAGGGUUAGUUUAUUGGAUUAGGGUUAGGUUAGGUUAGGUUAGGUUAGGGUUGGAUUAGGGUUAGAGCUAUGGGUAGGACUAGUAUCUUGUUAGAUUCACAUUAGGGUUGGAGUUAAAGUUCAGAUUGGUUUAGGGUUAUGGUUGAUCUCCAGUUAGGUUAAUCCUUGGCUAAAGUUGGAUUGUGUUUACUAUUCGGAUUACGUUAUGUUACAGUUAGAAUUAGAGUUUGGGUUACUGUUUGUGCUAGGUUAGGGUUAGGGAGUAGGGUUAGGGUUAAGAUAGGGUUAGUUUAGGAUUUGAGCUAAGUUAACAUUGGGUUUAGGGUUAAUUCGAGGUUAUGGGUAGAGAUUAGUGUUACUGUUAGGUUUGGGUCAGUUUUGGUGUUAGAGUUAAUGUCUGGGUUGUUUCAGGACUAUUUUUUGUUGAGUAUAGAGCUAGGUUAGGUUAGGUUACAGCUGUGGUUAGGAUAGGGUCUCCUAUGGUGUUAGCAUAGAAAUAGGUUCUGCUCACAUUGAGAACUAUGUUAAAGUAGAGUUCUGUAGGACUGGGAUGUUGUGCUAUACUUAGAGUUAUACAUACAUCUAGGCUCUGGAUAUGGUUAGAGUUAGGUUAGGAUUAUGGCUAUAGGGUGACUAGGGCUUGGUUAGAAUUAGUGCUAAUUAUAUUGACCUAGGGUUAGUUUUAGUGUUGCUGUUUGCUUAGGUUUGGCUCCAAGCUUUGCCCCCUCUUUUUCUCCCCCUUCCCCUCCACCUCCCCUCUUUCUGACUCUGUUUCUGUCUCUGUCUCCCCCUCUCCCUCCCCUUCUCCCCCCCCCCCUCUCUCUCUCUGGCACAUCCUUAGUCAUUGCCUGCUUGCUCACUGCUCUUUGUGCCCUGUAGGCUGUGUUGAUCUUACUGUCUAGCUCUCUUCUCUUGUCUCCUCUAUAUGUAGCCGAACCUCAUCUCUGAAACAUUGUCUCCUUGUCUGAGUGUUUCCUGAUGGGCCCUUCUCCAUUUGGACCAGGGGUUCUGAGCCAGUGCCAGUGUACCCAGGACCCAUGAUUAAAUAUGAAUGGAGUCUGGUGGGUGGCCUGGUGUGGGGAGGGAAUGGGUCACCCUUCCUCCUUCAGAUUCUGCAGGCCCUCGCUCUUGCAUGACCUCAUGCUUCCGGUGUACUUGGAGUCAUAACUGAGCCCAGCAUGGGGGUUCCCACUCAUCUAUGUUCCAAGACCAUAGGCUUUACAGAAAACCUGUACUUGGUCCCUCCUGCAUCACCCUGACACUUAGCCCACACUCACAGGAAAAUUCCCCUCCAGAGAUGAAAGGCUCUGUGAAACUGCAAGUGGCAAGCUCUGUUUUCAUCUCACUCCCUUCCCGUGGAUUCCUUCCUCAGCCAUGCACCUCCACGAAUUCCAUGCUGUAGCCUUGCCCUACUCGGUACAGGGUGAAGAUGAGAAUCUUACCAGUAGAUACCACAGCUGGUAGGUGAGGUAGGCUUGGAGUGCCUGUGUUCACAUGACUGCUAUUCUCUAUGGGACUUCUUUAAAAUGUCACAGUAUCGUAUAUAGCCUGGUAAAAUGUCAUGUGGAGAUAUUAUUUACAUUCUUCUAGUCUAGGCCACCCUUCAACACACAACUCCCAUAGCAACUCUCCCAUGCAUCCCUACGAGGGGUUCUCAAACUGGGGUCCCAUCCCCUCCCCAUCCUUGUCCCUCGAGGACAUAGGAUGAGGAGGCAGAUCACUCAUAGGUUAACAAUUGCAUCUGUCUAAAGCAUUGCCUUUAGUUGAACGUGUUGUGAGAGGAUGUUGUAACAUUACAGCCAGCAAAGGUACACAGUGGGUUCCAUGUAAGAUGUGCAUGUGUUUUUAAGAUAACAAAUACGAUUUCAGGGAAAUGCCAUACUUCCUUUGACUUGCUUCUGGAAGCAGAUGCCCGGUUCCCCGGGGGUAGGGUUUUAAUAUUCCCCCCUCUUUGGGAGCCCUCAGAGGGAAAAUGCACACCUCCAGCAUGGUGCCACAUGCCUCUCCAUCAUCCACGACAAGCCAUUUAAUCUCCUCUCCCCUGUGCACAGCCCAUCACGUGCAGCGUGUGUUCCAGCUCUGAGAGACACCUAUGUGUUCACCACAAAAUAACAUCAUCCUCUUCCGUUAUACACCAUAAAGGGGGGAAACCAGGCAGAACUGAGAUCUCAGCCUGUGCCAGCAAAAGUCCUAGGCAUCGAUGCAAACAAAGUGGAGAGAGCCUCGAGUCCUAGGAUUCCCCCAUGAUACAUACCAGGAAGAAGUGCCUCCUGGGAACAGGGUCUCCCCGGGGAAGCUCAAAGAACAAAGGUAGGAUGGCAGCCGAUGCCUGCAAACCCAGCACUCAGGAGACUGAGGCAGGAAGAUUGCCAGGAAUUCAAGGCCAGUCUGGGCUACAGAGUGAGAGCCUUCCUCAAUGAUAAGGUACAAAACAGUAUAGCUACAGAAGCAUGAUAGUAUCCUUUCAAAGAUGAUUUUAAGAAGGGCCAUCAUGGGGAACUAUCAUACACACACAGCUACAUUCAGAGAAGCAGAAGUCAGCACCAUGAUAGACCGAAGGACUGAGGAGGAGGAGGAGGAGGAGAAGGAGGAGGAGGAGGAGGAGGAGGAAAAAGAGGAAGAGGAGGAAAAAGAGGAAGAAGAGGGAGUCAGGACCAGACAACUUGACCACAUUAAAAGGUCACCCAGUGCCAGCUGUGGUCACCUUCCCACUACCAUGGGCAGCAGAGGACAAAGAGCCAAGAAAACUUGUCAUCUCUCUCAGGUGUCUAACCCCAAAGCAUGUGUGGCAAGUGGACAGUGCCACCAGAUAGAAGAUCUGGUAAGGAUGAGUGAGCCCAAUCCCUGUGAAAUUCAGAAUUGAGUAUGGUGGGCAUGGGGGCAGGUCCCUGCCAAACUCUACCUGCUCUGGAACACACAUAACCACGACAUCCCACUGUGAGCACCGUGACAGUAGGGAAAACGCCCAAAGCCCUUCCCCAUGUAAAUAGAGCAUCAUUAGCAUCUCAGACUGAGCCAAUGGGAAGGAUCUACCCCUGGAUCCCACCUCAGUGUUUAUAUAUCCUUGUCCACGUGGAAUAAAGUUUACAAGUUAUUUCACCGAGAAUCACCUGAGAGUGGCAGAGAGAGAGAGACAGAGACAGACACAGAGACACAGAGACAGAGAGAGACAUGACAGACAAAGAGAGACAGAGACAGACAGACAGAGACAGAGAGACAGAGGGAGAGAGAGACAGAGACAAGACAGACAAAGAGAGACAGAGACAGAGAGAGACAGAGACACAGAGACAGAGAGAGACAAGACAGACAAAGAGAGACAGAGACAGAGAGACAGAGAGAGAGAGGGAGAGACAGAGAGACAGAGAGAGAGACACAGAGACAGAGAGAGACAAGACAGACAAAGAGAGACAGAGACAGACAGAGAGAGACAGAGAGAGAGUGAGAGAGAGGAGAGAGAGAGAGAGAGCACAGACAGUCAGAGAAGACACAAACAUGGCCUCUGGUAGGAUCUGUAAUCAAUUGAUCAUCCUUGGCCUGAGAGGGGCUGUUUUACUGAGCUAUAACACUUUAGGGAAGAGUUUUCUCUUCCAAAGCAAUCACCAUGGGCCUUGGACCUGCCUGGCUUGCCGGGCUCAUGCCCUUGCUGUCCUUGACGAUGGUGUUGCCACCACUGCCCCUGCCGCUGGUAUUGGUGCUGCUACAGCAGUGGGCAACACCUGGGACCCUGGCUCCCUGCCCCAUAUGGGCUUCCCUUCUGAGAGCUGUAACACUUUGGCCAUUUCCAACCAGACCAGGGGCCCACAGAACCCCUGGUUCCAUGGAGGGUGGCACACAUGAGCCUGCUGGGACUCAACCCACACACAUCACAGUAGCAAUGCUACGAAGGCAUAUCUUUUAAGGCCAGGUGUGGUGGUGUACACUUAUAACCCUUGCCCAGGUGUGGUGAUACACACCUUUAACCCCUGCCCAGGUGUGGGGGUGUACACCUAUAACCCCUGCCCAGGUGUGGGGGUAUACACCUAUAACCCCUGCCCAGGUGUGGUAGUGCACACCUAUAACCCCUGCCCAGGUGUGGUGAUACACACCUAUAACCCCUGCCCAGGUGUGGUAGUGCACACCUAUAACCCCUGCCCAGGUAUGGUAGUGCAUACCUAUAACCCCUGCCCAGGUGUGGGGGUAUACACCUAUAACCCCUGCCCAGGUGUGGUAGUGCACACCUAUAACCCCUGCCCAGGUGUGGUGAUACACACCUAUAACCCCUGCCCAGGUGUGGUAGUGCACACCUAUAACCCCUGCCCAGGUGUGGUAGUGCACACCUAUUACCCCUGCCCAGGUGUGGUAGUGCACACCUAUUACCCCUGCCCAGGUGUGGUGGUAAACGCCAAUAACCCCUGCCCAGGUGUGGUAGUGCACACCUAUAACCCCUGCCCAGGUGUGGUAGUGCACACCUAUAACCCCUGCCCAGGUGUGGUGAUACACAUCUAUAACCCCUGCCCAGGUGUGGUGGUAAACGCCAAUAACCCCUGCCCAGGUGUGGUGGUAAACGCCAAUAACUCCAUACUUGGGAUUAGGCAGAAGGGUUUGCUUUAAGCUGCAGCCAGCCUGGGCUACAGGGCAAAACCUUGACAAAAAUUAACUCCAAAUGUUGAGAUAAUUGAAAUAAUAGAAGACUCAUUAUUAGUUGUAAAAAAGAAUACAGCAGUGAAUUCUCAUGCACCUUCCUAGGAUCAACUAAAUUAUGUUUAAAAAUUCAUAUCCUAAGCCAAGUGUGGUGGAGCACGGCUUCAGUCUCAGCACUGAGGAGCUAAAGGCAGGCUAUCUUUGAAUGAUUGAGGCCAGACUACAUAGUGAGUUUCAGGCCAGCCAGGGCUACACACUGAGACUAUGUCUCAAAAAAAUGUUAAUUUACUAAAGUCCUAACCCUGGAUGUUUAGCCAGUGUAUUUGGAGACAAUCUGCAAGAGCUGAGGAGGGUUAGGCUCAGCACCAUGCAGGUCCUGGUGCAAUCUGACCACAAUUCCCAAGAGAUGAGAACAGACAGGAAAAGAGGGAAGACCCUAGGAAGUCGGAGAACACAGCUUCAUUCCAAGGGACGCUUGGAACCCAACCCUGCCAACACCUUAAUCUGAAGCUCUAAACUGCAGGGAAGUGAAUGUGUGGGGCCUUGGGGCCACAGUGUAGGCUGCUUGGCUCCAGGAGCCAUAGCCGACUCAAGACCUUCCCAUAAUGCUAAGCAGUCUAUGACCACAACCAGACCACCAUUCAGGUCACACGGGUAGCAACCAAACCUAGGCAAACACCAGCUUUGUGAGCCCUUUCAGAUCCUCUGCAGUUGUGGUUUUAAUUCCCGCAGGAAAGGCUAAUUUCUUAUUAGAUUUCACAGCGUUAAGAUUCCACUUUCAGUAUGUUGUAAAAGAAUAUAGAUGCUGAUUGCUAUGGUAGUUAGAAUGUGUGUCCCCACCAUCGUCACCACCACCACCACCAUCAUCACCACCACCACUUUUCAUAUGUUGGGAGCUUGAUCCCCAGUGAGGCAAUGUUUUGAGGUGGUGAGCUCUUUAGGAGGUGGGUCCCUAUGGGAAAUCCUUAGGUCAUUGGGGUCAUGACCUCAGAAAAGAUUAGGGUGGCUCUCAUGAGACCUUAACUCACAUCUUAUAAGCGUGAGCUAUGGUACAAGAAUCCCUCUCCCCUCUAACUUCCUGUCUGGACAUGUGACCUGUCCCUCCUGUGCACACAUCUGCCACUGUGAUAUCUCCCAGGUCUUCUUCAGAGAUGAGCCUGUGCCAGUACCAUACCCUUAAACCUCUAGUACUAGAUGAAUUUCUUGGCUUUAUAAAGUUGUCCAGGCUCAGAUAUUUAUCUAUAGAAAUAGAAAAUGGAUUGGUGCAUUGUUCUCAAGUGCAGUAUUCAAGCCCGGGGCCAGUAGCCAUGGCUCCCGGGGCCUAUGUGCAGACCUCACUUUGAGUGGUGUUGACCUGAGCCAUCCAGCACGCACGCUCUGAGUGUCAGUGUUGGAGGACUAGGGUGGGGCUUGAUUCUGACUGUUCCAGGGUUGUGGAUAGCCCUGGGGCUAAUUAUAUUAGUUGUUAAUUCCAUUCUCCUGUGAGGGGUUUCGAACAAGGUAUGAGUCAGCACUCGAGUGAUUUCCGGUAAACCUGCUUCCCACCUUAAUUGUAAAAUAAAGGAGAGCUAUGAUUGGGCAAACAAAGGGAAGGUGGAGCAGAAGGUUGGAAGAGAGAAGAAGGAGAAAAUGGAAGAGGGAGAGGACACAGAGGAGGAGGGGGAAGAAAGAAAAACAUAGCAGAAGCACACAGCCUAGAGAAACCACAGGUUCUAAGGGGUCUCAUCGAUGGGGAAGAUGCUAGUGUAGCAGUAGAUCUGCCCAAUCUAGGAGCACAGCACGUAUUCAUAUUAACUGAGUUGUGUUUUCAUUGCCGGGCAUAUUUGGGUUGGAGAUUUACUGUAACAUUCCAGUGCUCACAUUGUCCCGUGGUUCUGUUUUCUCAGAGUCGCGAUGUCUGACAAGGCAAUGUCACCCACAACCCUUGGAAUGAUGAAAAUUCCAGACAAGAUGGGCUGUACCUCACCAGCAGGUCACCUUGAGGUACCCCCAAGUCUUCUGCACUGUUCGGGGGGGGGGGCUCUGGGCCCAGGAGCUCCCCUCGUGGCAUGUCAGGAGCAUCCUAUUUGAUCUUUGUUGAACUUGAGUUCAGCUUUGAUUGCUCUCCCACCCUGCCAGGGUGCUUACAUCAUAAUUGGUGCCCAGUGGUAACUGCAGGAGUCCACAUCCUGCAAGCUUCCUGCCAAAGCUCAGCAGCAGCCAGUGGUGUAAGGUCAAGGAUGGAGCUGUCUGUCCCAGCAGAGGACAGGGUGACUGUCCCUCUUUUUUGUUUCCUCUUCUAUCACAUACAUGCAGGAACACACACAGUCACACAUAUACAUGCAUUGUGCACAUACAUAUACACACAACAUCUGCAUUUGCACACACAACACAUACAAACACACAUGCCCACAACAUAGUGUCAUCACACACACACACACACACACACACACACACACACACACACAAACUCACAUACACACAUUCACACACACACAAACACAGCUCAAGCCCAGCUUGCGCUGUCCCCUCUUCUGUGUUCUCCCUUCCUUGGGCCUCUGCCAGUCCCUCCUCUUCUGAACACAGGUGCCUUUGGAAGCUCCAGCCCUGAAAAACUUGCAAACCAUAACAAACGACUUUCUCCCAAUUGGUACACGCCCGCUGACGCUCACUCUCCGAGUGGAAUCACAGCUGUCCCUCUAACGGUGUGCUGUGUCUGUACAAAGAGACAGGAUGGAGAUUCUACGCAGCCAGACCCAGGGACUUUACCUUGGCUCCUGUCUGAGAGUCAUUCAGCGAGCCCCAUAUCUGACUCUCAGAUGACACGGAUAAGAGAGCCUCGUGGCUUUCCGUGAUAGGACCCUGCAAUCUCAGGAUGCAGACAGACCCACCAAGAACCACUCCUGUCUCUCUGUCCAGGGUAUGCCUUUUAGGUCACAACUUCUGCCCAUAAUUGUUGUGGGUCAGGGCUAUCCAUACCCCAGAAUGCUGUUCUGUGUUGACUCUAUCCUGAUGGACCAAGAUAGUUGCUCCCUGCCUUCUGUAAGCAGUGGCUCUCCCUGAAGAUAGCCCUGUCCACAGAUAGUUCAUCAUCUCGAUAGAAAGUGGGACACCUAGGCACAGAGAGGACUGAGACCAGUCUCCCUGUGGACGCUUGACUCUAACAGGUAAACCUGGAUGCGGCUCGGAGCUCCUACUCCUCCGAUCGCCUCUGUCCCCUCUCUCAGUGACAUUUAUUCUGUCUCCUGGAGCCCUCAUGGGCCUUCCAUGGGUUCCUCUGCUCUCUACCUCUUAGUCCCAGAGAUUCCACUGGGCCUUUUCCCAGCCCCCACCUCUGGCCUCUGUAUCUGCUGGGCCUGCUGCAGUCCUAACUCCCAACACUUAUCUGUCCAUUCAGAGACUGAGGUUCACUUCCUCCCGCGCCAGGGACCCUCCCUCCCUCCCUUGCUCAGCACCCCCCCCCAACUUCCUCCAGGAUGCUCUCUUCAGUCCUUUAUGAGGCCUUGCAUGACAGGGCCCCAGUUUCUCUCUCCUGUAUGAGAGGAUGUGCUCGGAAUCACGUGACGCACAGGAUAUUGUUAGGGUGAGAUGAAGGUGCAGCCACUUCGCUCUUAACUGGCUCUCAAGACGGUUUCAGGACUAAGCAUAUCACAACUCACUGGAUAAAGUGCUUCCUGUGCAGGUUUGAGGAUUCAAAUGCACAUGAGAGCCAGGCAGAUGUGGCCGUCUCCCAGAAUCCCAGCCCUCAGGAGGCAGAGACAGGGGAACCCUGGAGCAAGCUGGCUAACCCACAUGCAUGCAAACACCCAGAUAGACAGACAUACAACCAGCAACCAUGGAGGAUACUGAAUUGAGAAUUGUGUUCCCCAAAGGCAGUCACAUCCUAGCUCCCAAUCCUUGUGAUAGAACACACAUGAAAACAGGAACUUCAUAGGCACCAUCCAGUUAGGGGGAGUCUGUGCUAAGCAGAGGCCAAAGACAUGGCAGAGUCCUUAAAGGAUGAAAGCAGGUAAAGUUAGGCACCAGACAGCACACAUGGGGGAGGCCAGGAUGGGAGAGAUGCAGACAUAAGCCACACGCACUGUGGCACUGCUACAGGAGUUCAGAAGGGAAUUGAUUGCCUCUGCAACUCUUGCUCUGGGGGUUCUGACCUCUGGGACAGAUCAAGAAUAAACAUCUCCUGUUUUAAACUACCUACGCAUUUAUGUGGGCUUGUAUGUAUGUAAAUCUGAUCUGUAUGUUUGCAUGCUUGUGGGCUAGCCAGCUUGCUCCAGGGAUCCCCUGUCUGCCUCCUGAUGGCUGGGAUUCUGUGAGACUGUUGCAGCCAUAGAACAGUAAGACACGGCCUGGUCACAACCAGCCAAUCUUCAGUUCGUGUGGCCACCCUGAUGCUCUGGGCCCCACCUCAGGGUCAUCCUGUCCCACCCCUCAUAACGAUUAGCAAAAGCCCAGAGAUGCCUUCCUCGUCCAGGGUGGGAGCCACACGUGGAACAGCCAAAUAGUUACUAAUGUUUUAACACCCUAGCAACUAAUGCAUUCUAAUUGGGCAACUUAACCCCAGAGUCAAGACCUGGGGAACUCCGGGAUCCUCUGUGACCCUUCCAGCCCCUUCCUAGCUCCACCACAGAGCUCCAAGCCACCAAGGAAAAAGUAAGGACCUGGUUUUCUACUCUUUAGGAAAGGUCGCAGCAACUCCAACAAGCGGUUUUAUCCUUCAACCAACAAAUGCAAGGCCAGGAAGAGGACAAAGGAGAUGGUGCAGCCACCAAGGCCUGUGGGAGACAAUAUCACAAAUGCCACCAUGCCCUGUAACAUCUGUCUAGAAGCUGGCCCGGUAUCAGUUGCUUAGGAAUCAUCCCAAAGCCUGGAAGGUUUCAGACGAGAGUUCUCAUGGAGAAGACGGAAUCUCAGGAGCCUUCUUACCUCCCCUGAUGAGUCUUGGAUGUCAUGUGACUGUGAACCGUCCCGGACUACAGGGAAAGGAAGAGGACAAUGAGACCGAGCAUGGAGCUGGGCCAGCAGGUCUGGGAAGGAGGCAUAGAGAA